GAGCUAAUACAUGCUAACACGCUCAACCUUACGGGAGAGGUGCUUUUAUUAGAUCAAAACCAAACGGCUUCGGCUGUACUCUUGGUGACUCUGAAUAACUUUGGGCUGAUCGCAUAGCCUUGCGCUGGCGACAUAUCCUUCGAAGGUGUGCCCUAUCAACUGUCGACUGUGGCAUAGACGCCCACAGUGGUUUUGACGGGUAACGGGGAAUCAGGGUUCGAUUCCGGAGAGGGAGCCUUAAAAACGGCUACCACAUCUAAGGAGGGCAGCAGGCACGCAAAUUACCCAAUGACCGAAGGUCGUGGUAGUGACGAAAAAUAACGAUAGCGGACUCUUCCGAGGCCCGCUAAUUGGAAUGAGUACACUUUAAAACCGUCCCCGAGGAUCUAUUGGAGGGCAAGUCUGGUGCCAGCAGCCGCGGUAAUUCCAGCUCCAAUAGCGUAUAUUAAAGUUGUUGUGGUUAAAAAGCUCGUAGUUGGAUCUCAACGGCCUUGGAGCGGUUAUCAUGCUUGAUAGACUGCUCUGUAGGCCGUGCUUUUGCUGGAGGUUUAGGGAGCUCUUAAUCGAGUGUCUCUGGAUGCCAGCAGGUUUACUUUGAAAAAAUUAGAGUGCUCAAAGCAGGCUGUUACGCCUGAAUAUUCGUGCAUGGAAUAAUAGAAUAGGAUGUCGAUCCUAUUUUGUUGGUUUUCGGGACUCGACAUAAUGAUUAAUAGGGACAGUCGGGGGCAUUUGUAUUCAAACGACAGAGUGAAAUUCUUGGACCGUUUGAAGACUAACUACA
rnacentral:rRNA from 1 species